ensembl:lncRNA
CCUUAGUGAAAAUUACACUUUAACUGGUGAGUGAACAUUUUUGCCUUAUUGCUGUGAAUGUGGAUGGUUGAUUAGGUGGCUUUUUUUCAAGUUUUCGUGCUGUGCGAGUGGCCUUUCUUGGAAGUGGGAAGAGUCAGGGAGUCACACGGGACUGAAAGAAAGUUUUACAGUCUUUCAACUGCAAAAGACACAUUUAUUGUGUAACAGCUUGCUGGGAGACCUCACACCGAGCGCAUCUACUGCGGGUGUGGUGCCUGUUAUCGGACCCGGAGUUAGCAACAUCCCCAAAAACACGAAGAGGAGAGUCCUGGCCCCUAGCCCUGCCAGUGUAGCAGAAAUGAUGACGGAUGAUGAUGGCAGCAGCAGCCGUUCUUCUCUGCGUGAUAGUCUGCAGGACCCAGGAAUACCUGCAUAUCUACCAGCUUGCAGUGUAGUUCCUGCACUCCACAGCCUCUUCUGUUCCAUGCAAGUGGAUUUUCUCCAGGGCAGGAGAAACUAUUUCUAAGAAAAGAAACAGACUCAGCCAGCGCACAGUAACACUAAUCCUCUUUUUAAAUGUAAAUAACAAAAGGGCUACCUUACAUUGA